rnacentral:rRNA from 1 species
CCGCCAGAGAACUACAAGUGAAAAACUUGAAACUCAAAGGACUUGACGGUGUCCCAUAUCGACCUAGAGGAGCCUGUCCUAUAAUCGAUACUCCACGUUCUACCUAACCCUAACUAGCACAAUAUCAGCCUAUAUACCGCCGUCGACAGCCUACCCUAUGAAGGACUAACAGUAGACACAAUAACCCAACCGCUAGUACGUCAGGUCAAGGUGUAGCAAAUGCUAGGGAAGAGAUUGGCUACAUUUUUUAUAAUAAAAAACACGAAAUGUACUAUGAAACCGUACAUGAAGGUGAAUUUAGUAGUAAAAUAGAUAAGAGUGUCUAUUUUAACAACGCUCUGGGACGCGUACACACCG